rnacentral:rRNA from 1 species
UACGGAGGGUGCGAGCGUUGUCCGGAAUCACUGGGCGUAAAGGGCGCGUAGGCGGUCUGCUAAGCGUGCGGUGAAAGCCUGGGGCUCAACCCCAGGUCUGCCGUGCGAACUGGUGGACUUGAGCACUGUAGAGGCAGGUGGAAUUCCGGGUGUAGCGGUGGAAUGCGUAGAGAUCCGGAAGAACACCGGUGGCGAAGGCGGCCUGCUGGGCAGUUGCUGACGCUAAAGCGCGACAGCGUGGGGAGCAAACAGG